ACCUUUAUUUUUUUUUAUUUUUUAAGUUUCUUGAAUAAGAGGCAGCAUCAUUUACAUUUCGAUAAUUGGCAAUUACAGAUUAAUUUGAAGCUUUGUUGCCAUGAUUUUAAAUCAUGAAUAAUGAAAAAAAUAAGAAUUUGUUAUUCAUAACUUAUACAAAUUAUACUAAAUAAUAAAAUAGUAUCUAGCCAGAUAGUUGAUGUUUAUGAAGGUCUAUUGAAAGGAGUGAGUUACUCUGUUAUGCUUUUCAGGGUUUCUCGUAAUGUAGGAGUUGUGAAGAGUACUGAUCCCCUUUACAAAAUAACAUUCAUUGAUUCAACUAUUGUUACGAACACCAAUGUUGUCUUGCAAUCCCCGAUUCAUCGUCUUAUUCCUUUCUCCUCUGUAUAAAAAAGCACUAUUUCAAAAAAAAAUACUAGCGUGAAAAAGCUCUCAGG
rnacentral:lncRNA from 1 species